GCAUCCACGGAGCCCCGGGUUGGUCC
rnacentral:piRNA from 1 species